CCGUGGGUAAUACAAGGGCUCUCUUCAUCUUUUGAGAGCACAAAUAACAAAUAACAUACAGAGCAAACCUACCUGCAAGUUCAAACUCAAUCAAACCUCAUGUAUUGAAGUCCAAAGUUCUAAUGUACCAAGAUUACCACAUCCUAAUUAUUUUGUUUCAUUUUCAUUUUUUGAAUAAUUUGUAGUGAGCAAUAAACUUGAUUUUUUUACACUUGCCAAAUAUAUUUUUCUUGAAAACAAGAUUAAAUGCCAUUGUGACACUGGGGUAUAAUGAUAAAUAAUCAAUCCAUGAUGUUCACUAAGACUUUAUGUUGUCUAAUGUUGUUUGGAGAGAAAUGGAAUGCUUAAUAUCACCCAUUUGAAUACUAUGUUCCCCCAUUUGCACACAUGAAUGUAAAUCUCUGAUAGAACAUUUUUCUCCUUUAAUAUUCUCAAACUACAAUAAUAUAUAUGUUUUUUGAGGCCAUGUUUUUUCUUCUUUAAUUUUGUUAUAUAAUAAUGAGCAUAUUUAUAAAAGUUCAAAUGAAUUAUUAAUUUAUUUUCAAUAAUAGGUGGAACCAAUUCAAAAAAUCAACCCGAGUUACUUCGGGUUGAUUUGGUUCAAUUUUAACGAAUAAUUAAUAUGUAGUUCUAGUUCAAAAAAUCACAAACCCAUUCAAUUGUUUUGAAUUUAAUACUAACCCAAACCAAACCCCCAUUCAUUCUUGCAAUGAGGUUUAGUAGGAUUAGGUAAUGAUCAUGGCAAACCCCCCUACAUUCUUGCAAUGAGGUCUAGUAGGAUUAUGUAAUGAUCAUGUCAAACACACUAGGUGCUAUCAACUCUUUUAAGGCCACCCCUACAGGCUCUGCCUGAUAUUUGCCCCGAUCACUUGGAGGGACACUUUGUGUGGAUUUCGGAAUUAGUCGAGGUGCGUGUAAACUAGUCCAGACACUCGGCCAUCAAAAAAAAAAAAAA